UACGAAGGGGGGCUAGCGUUGUUCGGAAUUACUGGGCGUAAAGCGCGCGUAGGCGGCUUUGUAAGUUAGAGGUGAAAGCCCGGAGCUCAACUCCGGAAUUGCCUUUAAGACUGCAUCGCUAGAAUCAUGGAGAGGUGAGUGGAAUUCCGAGUGUAGAGGUGAAAUUCGUAGAUAUUCGCAAGAACACCAGUGGCGAAGGCGGCUCACUGGCCCGAUACUGACGCUGAGGCACGAAAGCGUGGGGAGCAAACAGG
rnacentral:rRNA from 1 species